CCUACGGGAGGCAGCAGUGGGGAAUAUUGGACAAUGGGCGAAAGCCUGAUCCAGCAAUGCCGCGUGAGUGAUGAAGGCCUUAGGGUCGUAAAGCUCUUUUACCAGGGAUGAUAAUGACAGUACCUGGAGAAUAAGCUCCGGCUAACUCCGUGCCAGCAGCCGCGGUAAUACGGAGGGAGCUAGCGUUGUUCGGAAUUACUGGGCGUAAAGCGUGCGUAGGCGGUUAUUCAAGUCAGAGGUGAAAGCCCGGGGCUCAACCCCGGAACGGCCUUUGAAACUAGAUAACUAGAAUCUUGGAGAGGUCAGUGGAAUUCCGAGUGUAGAGGUGAAAUUCGUAGAUAUUCGGAGGAACACCAGUGGCGAAGGCGACUGACUGGACAAGUAUUGACGCUGAGGUACGAAAGCGUGGGGAGCAAACAGGAUUAGAUACCCUGGUAGUCCACGCCGUAAACGAUGAUAACUAGCUGUCCGGACACUUGGUGUUUGGGUGGCGCAGCUAACGCAUUAAGUUAUCCGCCUGGGGAGUACGGUCGCAAGNUUAAAACUCAAAUGAAUUGACGG
rnacentral:rRNA from 1 species